AAGUAGCAUAAUCAAGGUAACAAUUUAUUUAUGAAUCAUCAUUCAAGCAUAGAUCCAGCUACUCCAAGGUGUAGAGUCAUUAAUAGUAAUAAUAAAUAGCCAACACAAACACCUAUGUGUAUCUAUCUUGUCAUUUAAUGCUUGCAAAAACCUUGUAAGAUAAGUAUAGUCUUAUUAUCUCUAUAUUCCAGAUAAGGAAGUUGAAAUACAAAGAGGCAAAAUAAAGAAUAUAGAAUUAUUCAAUGAGAAUAAGUUGAAGGAAUUGAUGGAGCAUAAGUCUACUUGAAAGCACCAUUCAUUUGCUGGGAAUUUGGCUGGGACAAUUGCAAGCUCUGAGCUCUCAUCUCUGGAGGCUUCCUGCAUCAGGCAGCACUCCUGGAAGCGACAACCUUAAAGAUACUCUUUCUACUGAAUCUCUUUUAUGAGCCCAAACUUUCUCACAUAUUUUGUCAUUUCACUCUUUUGAUGUCCUCUGAGAAUGAUGGGCCUAUGGCUAUUUCCAUUUUAUGGAUGAAGCACUUGAGGUCAGACAGAAUUAUUAAGUUCACAUAAGUAUCCCCAAAGGCUUCAUAAUCUAGGCAGGGAGACAAAUGCAUUUUUAAAAAAAUGAAUAGCUGCAAUCCAACUAAUAACUAAGCCCUGUGAGUGUAUCCCAGAGCAAAGUAUUGACUCAUCCUGACAAAGCCAUGCUGUGGUAGGAGGGUGUAGAAAAAGGGUAUGGAAAAGUGCCACAGAGUAGUAUUUGCGCUGCGUUGCAAGGAAAAGGAGGUAUCCUCGCAGGUGCGGAGAGUAGGAGAGGGCAUUCAAAGCAGACCAGGAGCAAUGGUUCUGUGUACUAGUAGUAGAUAUAAGUUGGACUAUUCUGGAAAUAUGUACUGCCAAAUGUGGCAAGAGCCUUGGGUACUAGAAGGAGCUGUGAGAGUAGGGAAUGACUCAGGAUCAGAUUCUGGAGGACCUGAAAUUGCUGCUAAAGAGCUUGGAUGGUAUCCCAGAAAUGACAGGAAACUUAUCAAGCCCUGGAAGAUGGAGAUCCAAGCUUCACCAGGCCAGCACCCAGAUGGAGGUCUUCCACUAAGGCUGAGGCACAGGGUCGAGCCUGGCUGUCUCCUUCCCCAACUUGCACACUUCUACAGCUGACCCUCGUGAGGCAGGGUGGACAUCAAAGGCUGAGGGCACUGGGAGAGGACUGCAGCCCCUUCAUUGGUCAGGCCCCAUCAAAGGCGCCUGUGCCAGGCUCUGCUCCACUCCAAACCCGGGCAGAUCAAAGAGCCCUGUACAGAAGUUGGGUUUCUGGGCAGCCCCAAUUCUGAUCAUCAAUUGUCACUUUGGCAGUGACAGCAGAGUCCAACAUGACAAGACUGCCACAGCCAAGGCUCCUGGGGUGGACAUCAGAGCAGUAGCUCCAAAGGCCAGGAAGCUGCCUGAGGCCCCUCUGGGCCUUGACCCCUGAUGGGAAGAGAAGGAAGAAUUAGACAGGCCCCUGAGGAAAGUGUUUGGAGUAGAAUCACUGAAGGAAAGUUGCUGCAGGCGAGAAACCUGACUCUGGCAUUGAUGUUCCUGCCACUGAACCAUGAGAUCUGAUUACUUCAUGUAGCUGGGAAGAACUCUUAAUAUUUGUACAUAUGUUCGCUCUUACACACACACACAUACUUCUAGCCCUAAAUAUACACACUAGAAUUAGCUGCCCUGAUGUAUAGAAACAUACCCUUACACAUGCAGAUUCUUACAUAAACACAAACAGAAUUAUUCAUGCACACAUUCCCCUUGAAUGCUUGUCAUAUUUGCCUACAAGCGUGUAUGUACACUUUUGCACAUAGCGCUGUACAACCUAGAGAUGCAAAUACCUCACCACACAUGCACGCAUGCAUAUGCAUUCGGUGAGCAUAUCCUCUUUAUGAUGCAUUCUGGCAGCUUCUAGGGCCCAAAUCCAAUAUUUCUUCCUCAGAGGGGUUAGAAUCAUCCUCAUAAAUACGCUUUAAGUGCAGCAAUGGCCUGAUCCACAGAUCCUGAUGCCAGCAAUUCUCCAGCUCCUUCGUAAAAAAAUUUAGAGGAAAUGUCCAAAAAUGUACCAAACAGGAUUUAUGUUAGCUCAUGGAAGGGACUUCCUGCCAAUAAGAGCUAUUAAAAAUAUCAGCACAUUCGACUUCUGUUCAUUGAGGAAUAUUCAGGUGCCAGAAAUCUGAACCAAUUGGAAUAUUAAUUUUGCUUCAGAAAAUAGUUAUAUGCUUUGAAUCAAUAGAUUUUUAAACAAUAUAACAGACUAGUUGUAAAUCAGAGGAAUUUAUUAUAAUUUGGGGAUCUGAAGACAUUUUAGCCUAAAAGGCAAUUAAUAUAAAAAUUUGUUUAGUUUAAAUUUAACCAAUGAGCAUAAUUACAGAAGUUUUUGGACUAGAGUUUGGGUCCUGUUCAAACCUCUUCUCUUUCAUGACCAAAAUCACAUGCAUGAGAAAAGUAGCAAAGGGUCCUUUAAAACCAAUCCAGUCCAUGUUCCUUCUCCUCUGAGAAGUCCUCUUGUUUCUUCCCUGAUGAGACUUGAGAGAGGACUCGGUAUGCACAGGGUAGCCUGCCACCCAGAGCUUGCUGAAGAUCGGGGCUGCUGGGAAUACUGGUGACUUUCUCCAGGACUCACCUUCAGAAGGAAGCCACCUCUCCACGGUUAUGCCUGGUCUCCAGGGGCAGCGUGCCUGUGAUAAUUGGCUGAUAUGAGGUCUGCCAUUUUGGGGACUACAACUAUUCUGCUCCCAAGCUUCCUGCAGGGACAGCCGAGGCCUCUGUCAUGACUGUACCACAGCACAACUCUGGCUUUCCUCUCACCCUGCUCAGUGUUGUUCCUGAGGGUGCUGCAGACCCUGGCAAAUUGUCUGCACCCUCUUCUCACAGACGAAGAAACCGUCUCAAGAACAACUAUCCAGAGCAGCAUCUUGGUUCUGUGUGCCCUUGUUCUGGUGUCUUCCUGACUCUGUCUCACAGCCCAUACCCAAACAUAAGCAAAGGUAUUAAAGACAGAUUCCAAAUCAAAUCAGCCCUCAUCAUUUCCACGGCUAUGGCUCUGUAGAAGCCAUGGUUACCUCUGCCCUGGCCAUCAGCGGCGGUGUCCACACUGGCCGCCAUACUUCACUCUUGGUCUCUGGAGUCUCAUCUCCAUAGUGAUGAGACUGAUUCUGUCAUAACAUAAUUUAGUCACAGUAUUUCUUCGCUCAGACUCUUUCAGUGAAUUCUUACUGCAUUAAAAAUGAUCCAAAGCCCUUAGUACAUCUACUGGGCCUUGGUCCUGUAUGACCAGUCACUCUCCUCCCUCCUAGACCUUCCUCUUUUGCCUGUUCCUCCACCAUUUAUUUUCCUCCUGCCACUCCAUGGAUACUGUGCCUGCAUCAGUCUUUGCCCUUGAUUCCCCACCUCCCUGGUAGACAGAGACAGCUUUCUCACUUCUGU
ensembl:lincRNA